rnacentral:snoRNA from 1 species
AUACUAUGAUGGUUGCAUAGUUCAGCAGAUAAGUCAUGAAGAGAUUUACCACUUGUCUGAUGUAUCU